UACGUAGGGGCCGAGCGUUGUCCGGAGUUACUGGGCGUAAAGCGUGCGCAGGCGGUUCGUCGUGUCCGAUGUGAAAGCCCCGGGCUCAACCUGGGAAUGGCAUUGGAAACUGGCGGGCUUGAGUGUGGCAGAGGGGGGUGGAAUUCCGCGUGUAGCAGUGAAAUGCGUAGAGAUGCGGAGGAACACCGAUGGCGAAGGCAGCCCCCUGGGCUGACACUGACGCUCAGGCACGAAAGCGUGGGGAGCAAACAGG
rnacentral:rRNA from 1 species